rnacentral:rRNA from 1 species
AUGAGAUAUGCAUACGUUCAUUGUAGGUGGCAACUUAAUCAAGUAAUUCAGUAUGAACUAAUAGAGCGCAGGGGGUUCUACAGAUGCAGCAGCAUCAAGGAUUGUGUUGCGUGGAAGCACGUGGAGCAGUAUUGCAGUAAAGCCGGGAUGCUCAUGUCACCUACUAAGAACGAGCACAACCACAACCAUGAUUUUUUCCCCUCCAGUGAUGCUCCGCGCCUGGCCACGAUCAACGUACGAGCCAUGCCGGUCGACGUGCAUGGCGGCACGGCUUCCCAGGCGGGGGUCCCGCCUGUGCAUGCUGGGCCUACGCCGCCUGGUGCUGCGAUUGGCUCCCCCUGCGCUUCGUCGGCCCGCGAACCGGCUUUGCCAGCGCCUGGUGCCGCGACUGCUUCCCCUUGCGCCUCGUCGGCCCAUGAGCCAGCUUCGCCAGCUCCUGUGACGCUGUCGCUGAGUCCAUCACCGUCGCCGUCAUCGCCUACGCCUCUGCCCAUCGAGCACCCUCAUCCCAUGGUGACUCAUACCCGUGAUGCUACCGUCGUGAGAAGGAAUUUACUGAAGGGACGUGUCGUCGGCAUCCUUGAGGCAGUUGCUGACUGGCUCACAGCAUCCCGCGGCCACGCUCAAAGCAUCCAACUCGCACGCACAUGGCAGAUGUUGUUCCGUGUCGCAUGCGCAUGGUCGUCCGUCGUUGUCGUAGAUUCGUUCGCCUUGGGCGUCGCAACUCCGGCUAGCAGCACCACUCGAUUUUGUCGUAGCAUCAGUGGUCGGAGUUCGCAGCUUCGGCGGUCACUAUUAGCAGCAGGAUCGCCAUGCGCCGGUCAUAGUAAUGGCCACCGACAUCGCAGCACCACCGUGCACCGGUCGCAGCAUCAUCGACUCACCAUGCCGGUUGAAUCUUUCGCCAUCAUCAGUCGCAACUUUAGCUAG